rfam:Capsicum annuum cultivar Zunla-1 chromosome 5, whole genome shotgun sequence
UAAUGAUGGUGAGAGAAAUUUCUUAGCAUACCCUUAAAUCUCUCCCAAUCUUGGUACAGAUUUUCUCCUUCUUUUUGUAUAAAACUUAGAAUCUUACUUCUUAAAUG